GGGGGGGGGGGGAGGAUGCAUGUAUAUUCAUAUAAUCGUGUUCACAUACCGUAGAAACAAUCGCUUUCAAAAGAAAUCCGUCGGGCAGAACACGAAUAUUUGAAUAUACACCCCCCCAAUUAUCGGUCUAGCUACGGCCCCAUACACGAGUGAGUUUUUCAAAAAGCAUCAAAUAACACGACUCCAAAGGACUUGUGCUUUUUGAAGUCUUUGAGAAACUCACAAGUGCUUGUUUUAUCUAAAUUUCACGAGAAACCAGCCUCGUAUUAAUAAUAUACAUAGAAAUGUUCGAGACAAUUGUAGUUUUCCUGCUUUGUUAUAUCACAUUACACAACCCUAACGGCUUGAAAAUUCCACUCAACUAUGUAAGUCGUUUUGUAAGACUGGUUUAAGGUAAAGUUUUUCCAUUUUAAAAAAAGAUAAAAGCCAUAUUUUCCACCCAAACUCAAAUUACUUACGUGGCACGGCCGCCAUGUUUUGUUUUGUGUUUUGUGUUUUGUGUGUUGUGUUUUUUGUUUUGUGCGUUGUGUGCGUUGUGUGCGUUUUUUGUUUUUUGUUUUCUGUUUUCUGUUUUUGGUUUUCUGUUUUGUUUUGUUUUGUUUUGUGUUUUGUUUUGUGUUUUGUUUUGUUGUGUUUUGUUUUGUUGUGUGUUUUGUUUUGUUGUGUUUUGUUUUGUUUUGUUGUGUGUUUUGUUUUGUGUUUUGUUUUGUUUUGUUGUGUUUUGUUUUGUUUUGUUUUGUGUUUUGUUGUGUUUUGUUUUGUGUUUUGUUUUGUGUUUUGUUGUGUUUUGUUGUGUUUUGUUUUGUGUUUUGUUUUGUGUUUUGUUGUGUUUUGUUUUGUGUUUUGUUUUGUGUUUUGUUGUGUUUUGUUGUGUUUUGUUUUGUGUUUUGUUUUGUGUUUUGUUUUGUGUUUUGUUGUGUUUUGUGUUUUGUUGUGUUUUGUUGUGUUUUGUUGUGUGUUUUUUUUGUGUUUUGUGUUUUUUUUGUGUUUUUUUUUGUGUUUUGUUGUGUUUUGUGUUUUGUUGUGUUUUGUUGUGUUUUGUGUUUUGUGUUUUUUUUGUGUUUUUUUUGUGCUUUGUGUUUUUUUUUGUGUUUUGUGUUGUUUUGUGUUUUGUGUUGUUUUGUGUUUUGUGUUGUUUUGUGUUGUUUUGUGUUUUGUGUUGUUUUGUGUUUUGUGUUGUUUUGUGUUGUGUUUUGUGUUCUGUUGUGUGUUGUGUUUUGUGUUGUUUUGUGUUUUGUGUUGUUUUGUGUUGUUUUGUGCUGUUUUGUGUUGUUUUGUGUUUUGUGGUGUUUUGUGUUGUUUUGUGGUGUUUUGUGUUGUUUUGUGUUUUGUGUUGUUUUGUGUUUUGUGUUGUUUUGUGUUGUUUUGUGUUUUGUGUUGUUUUGUGUUGUUUUGUGUUUUGUGUUGUGUUUUGUGUUGUGUUUUGUGUUGUGUGUUCUGUUGUGUGUUGUGUUGUUUUGUGUUUUGUGUUGUUUUGUGUUUUGUGGUGUUUUGUGGUGUUUUGUGGUGUUUUGUGGUGUUUUGUGGUGUUUUGUGUUGUUUUGUGUUUUGUGUUGUUUUGUGUUGUUUUGUGUUUUGUGUUGUGUUUUGUGUUGUGUUUUGUGUUGUGUUUUGUGUUGUGUGUUCUGUUGUGUGUUGUGUUGUUUUGUGUUUUGUGUUGUUUUCUGUUUUGUGGUGUUUUGUGGUGUUUUGUGGUGUUUUGUGGUGUUUUGUGGUGUUUUGUGGUGUUUUGUGUUGUUUUGUGUUGUUUUGCGUUGUUUUGCGUUGUUUUGUUUUGUUUUGUUUUGUUUUGUUUUGCUUUGCUUUGCUUUGCUUUGCUUUGCUUUGUUACUUGACGACUACAGUACUUUAAGCAAAUUGGUUGAUUUUAAAUCCCAUUGUUUUUCCAUCAUUGAGAUUAGUUGUUUACAGAUUUUCGCACUGUUCUUACAGAUUUUUUCAAUGCUGUUUGAAAUUAAUAAAGUGCACCGAAAUCAACCAAUCACAGUCGAGUAAUAUUUUUAUGUGUAUUUGCUGCCACUAUUCUUUAACACGAAUAAUAUAUUAUAUGGCUUUGCAGAAUCCUGGAUUCUGAUUGGUCGACGUGCGGUCCGUAAAAUGCGUGAUCCGUAUUUUCCCGUAUCCGGACCGGUUUCCCGUAUGUCAAUUUGACAGGGUCGAAUUUGAAACGUUUUUACGCGUUUAUAAGGUCGUUAUGUGAAGAAAAAGUAUAGAUCCUGGGAUCAUUUUUAAGAAUAAGACGUCUUGGAAAUAUUAAUAAGUACUUGUACACCACAAAUUUCGUCGAAAAGCUAAGAAAACAAGUCGUUUGAACUCUUACUGGCAACCGUAAGUUUUGGCGGGAAAAUUUUUUGAUUUGUUUACUUGUUUCAAAAAAUAAAUAAAGAUGAAUUUAACGUCCUUAAUACCAUAUUCUAAACAAAUAUCAUAUAAACUGGGUUUAUAAGCAUUUUUUCUGGCGGUGGGGGUUGCCGAAAAAGUAGUUCUAAAGCGAUUGUUAAACAUGCUUUUCCGUAAACAAUAUUCGGUGACGAAACCAAAUCUAAACGAAGAAAACUAGCAAAUAAAACAUAGCUCAAAAAUACCUUUAUAGCGCUCAAACAAAUAUAUGAAAAUCAGAAAAUGUGUUUAAGGAGCCAUAUAAUAAACGGUUUAUUAACCUCGUUUUGCUCGGUCUGUACGGGAAAGUAUUUGCCUUCGGUUUAUCCGCGCACAGACCUCGCUCCUUCGUCGCUCGGUCUGUACGAAAACCUCGGGCAAAUACUUUCCCGUACAGACCUCGCUCUCGGUUAAUAACCCUUUAGUAUUGCGUCUGUCUGUAAAGAUGUCAUAAUUCCGGGGAAAUAAUUAUAAGGCUUCAGGAAGUUUUUCUAAACGAGGGAAGCGGUCAAUUCUUCUCAGGUA